rnacentral:lncRNA from 1 species
CUGGUGACUAUGGAAAAUGAAAGCAAGUUCACGCUGACAAUGCCCGUAAAGAGCUUUGUGAAGCCAUGACAGUGCUCUUCAAUUUUAACAUGAAGAAGAGGGCAUGUGAGUUAGCAAGACUGGCCAGAGGCCAGAGCCCGGGGCCAGCAAACCUUUCCCUGCUGUGAGGUGGGCAAGUUAGUUGCUCCAAAAACAAGAUAAAAUGAUUGAGUUCUUUUCUCAAGCGGGAGUCGGAGUUUAUCUGCUCUGAGAGCCCCAGCAGCUACUAUUAAUGAGUGUCUGGAAUAUGUUCCUGGCAUUUCACCUACCCUCUCUCCAAUCCUUCCAAGAAACUCACAAAGCAGGGCUUUUUCUUGAACUUCUCUUCCUCACAACAGUUAAAUCAUCCAUUUAAAGAUGUCAAACAACCUCCGUGUUCUAAGAUGCUGGACCCCUGAAUAUGGAGGGCCAACUACACUAGAAACACACACGCUAGCUGAGAAAGAUGGUGGCUUAAGGCCAAGGGCCUCUGCUAGCACCCAUGAGAACUUUGUGUUCUUGAGAAUAAGACACCUUUGCUCCAGGGCUUAGUGAGCAGGGCCUGAACUGGAGUUCCCUCCCACCACCUUAACUGAACUCUUCAUGCAGGACACAGCAUGUACAACCUCACAUAGAGUUCCUGACCAGACAAGACUUGCUGGAAAUUUCCCAGGAUCUUCCUUCCUUAAGCAUCCAUCAUGGGAAGCCACCUUGCCCUAGGGAGAGCUCCUGACCUAGGGUCAGGAAUAUAUUAAGGAAGACAGCAAUUAAUACAUUCAAAAAUAAUAAUAAUUACAAAUUAUGUCUCUGUGUUAGGAAAACUUGGAUAAGCAGGUCCAUAGAAAUUCCUCUGCUAGCCCUGUCUCCUGGAAUUUCUACAUAAUGGCAUAUCCUCAGUUUGAAGCUGAAAAGGUUAAAUUCUACCUGAAGGAUGAAAACAACCAACAUUCUGUGCCAAGACAGUCAGGAGGGCAACCAUGUUUCCUGGUGGAGCCUCUGGAACCACUCAAGCCAAGAUGACCGGGGGUUUGGCUGGGAGGAGAUGGGGAAACUACAGACCCUACAGAUGGUUUCCUGUACCAUGAGGUUAAGCCUGGGGGCAGGAGAGGCUGUACCUUAGUUCCUUCAUCUGUAAAAUAAAGUAACAUAGUACCUACCUCA